rnacentral:rRNA from 1 species
UACGUAGGGAGCGAGCGUUGUCCGGAUUUAUUGGGCGUAAAGAGCUCGUAGGCGGUUUGGUAAGUCGGGUGUGAAAGCUCCGGGCUCAACUCGGAGAGGUCACUCGAUACUGCCAUGACUGGAGUCCGGUAGGGGGGUGUGGAAUUCCCAGUGUAGCGGUGAAAUGCGUAGAUAUCUGGAGGAACACCGGUGGCGAAGGCGGCAUCCUGGACCAAUACUGACGCUGAGGAGCGAAAGCCAGGGGAGCAAACGGG